rnacentral:tRNA from 1 species
GCCUUCGGACGUGCGGUGGUCCGCCGGGCCGCCUGUAAAGCGGCCGCCCCGUGGGGCAAUGUGGGUUCGAUUCCCACCCGGGGCAC